ensembl:snoRNA
CCCGCCACUAUGCCUGUCUGUCACAGUGACUGAGUGUAAUCCAGUGGAGGCUCAGAGCGACCCGGCUUUAGGAAACAGGCCUGCCCAAAAUCUGAUGGACAACUCUGUGCCGAAAAGUCUGGAACAAAA